rnacentral:rRNA from 1 species
AGAGUUUGAUCCUGGCUCAGAUUGAACGCUGGCGGCAUGCUUUACACAUGCAAGUCGAGCGGCAGCGCGGGGGCAACUCUGGCGGCGAGCGGCGAACGGGUGAGUAAUACAUCGGAACGUAUCCCGUAGAGGGGGAUAGCCCGGCGAAAGCCGGAUUAAUACCGCAUAUGCUCUACGGAGGAAAGUGGGGGACCUGUGAGGGCCUCACGCUAUGGGAGCGGCCGAUGGCCGAUUAGCUAGUUGGUGGGGUAAAGGCCUACCAAGGCGACGAUCGGUAGCUGGUCUGAGAGGAUGAUCAGCCACACUGGGACUGAGACACGGCCCAGACUCCUACGGGAGGCAGCAGUGGGGAAUUUUGGACAAUGGGGGCAACCCUGAUCCAGCCAUGCCGCGUGCGGGAAGAAGGCCUUCGGGUUGUAAACCGCUUUUGGUCGGGAAGAAAGGGUUCUCUUGAAUACGGAGGAUCCGUGACGGUACCGGCAGAAUAAGCACCGGCUAACUACGUG